UGUCUCUUGUUUUGUUUGAUUCUUGCUUACUUGCUUACUUAUAUGGUGUUCGCUGUUUUAAUAGAGUACGAGAAGUCUUUACGGUGCUACGACCCUAAUCAUUUGGCAAGAAUAACAGCUACCCUUGGGUAUAAGGCUGUGAUUGCUGGUAAGGUUGUCGUUGAUAGGCUUCGGGAGAAAGAGAAAGCUGCACUUAGCCGUAGCACUAAAAUUAUUGAACUCGAGGUUGAGAUCGUGAGGUUGAAAAAAUAGAAUACUGCUUUAAAUGAUCUCAAGACCUCUCUUUUCGAGGAAAACACAAAUUUAAAGAAAAACAAAUAAUUGCUCGUGAAAACAUGCAGUGAUCUCAUUCAGAGGGUAGAAAAUUUGGAGAAGAAUUCGUAAGACAAUCUUGGAGUUUUGGAGAAAUUGCGAAGCACUAUUGAGAAAGAUUCAACAACUAUUUCAUCUUUGCAGAAAGCUUGUGCUGAAAAUGAUACGAUGAUCCAUACGCUUGGCAAGAGCCUUGAGGACCAGAAAGUUUUUAUUGAUGAAGUGGAGUAGGUGCUGAAGACCAAGUUUGCACAAAUUCACGAUGGAUAUAAACUUACUUUGGCAUAGUUUGGUGUUGAUCCCCUUCCUUUCCUUAUCAACAAGGGUGCCAAAGAAAUGUUUGAUUGGAUGGACCAAGAGUUUGAGUCCUUGCCCUUGGUCAUUGCUGGGGCUAGCGACUACGCGGCCUCUUUUUGCUGCGAGGGCAUGCUGAAAUUGCUGGAGAGUGAGGGUUGUUCCGAAUUUCUGAAGUUUGGGGCAUGCAGCUAUUAAUUUCCCUUAGCCUUGGAGCUUGAUGAACAAGAGAUUUCUAAAAAAAUUAAAAUUUUGAAGAAAAAUUUCUUGAAACAAUUCUGGGCAGCUUCUGGAUGCGGCAUGCGAGGCUUUUGCUCGUGAUCGACUCGUGAAGGUCAAGGGAGAGGGAUCGAGCGAGGAAGGUGAAGCUGGUGGUUCUGGGCAGCACGAGGUGUAGGCUCGAGGCUCGCCUUGUUAGCUUGAUUUUAGGGUCUGGAAGUGAGACAUUUGUUGGUUGUAAUAUUUGGCGAUUGUAAACAUUUGCUGUACAGGAUGCCUGAUCGACCUUAGCUGUUUAAAUGUGUUUGUUAAUGGUUG